rnacentral:lncRNA from 10 species
GGCCCCGCCCACCCAUCGCCUUUGCCACCCUCGAACGGGCAAAAGAAAGAAAGAGGCAGGUAAGGGGAGGCGAGGCCGUCCAAAAACGCUGGGUGUCAGCCCGGGGUGGCUAAUGGAGGGCGGCUUUUCUGGUGGGAUGAAAUGGAACGGCAAAUCCCACUUCAUCCCCUUUGGGCUAUGACAACAUCAUAGUCCAAUCUCCCAUUUUAUGAACAGGGAAACUGAGGCUCAGUGACUAGACAGACGUUGCCCAGAGUCAUGGUCAUGGAGGAAGCUUGUGCUAGAAUGGUGGAGAGGAAACCAGAGCCCAGCUCCUAAUGCAAGGCUCUUUCAUUCCUUUAGCCACCCUCGCCCCCGCCAAAACAAACAGACAAAAAACUGUCAUUCUCAUAUGACCACGGACUCUGCGCCCCGGCCGCAGGCGGAGGACAGGGAGGAGCGCACACGAGAAAGCUCCCACGCGCCCGCGCCUCGCCUCCGACGGGAAGGCGCCUCUUCCGACCGUCCUGGAUGCAAAUUAAAUACUUCCCUCCGCAGAAGACUUAUCUCGGGGUAGGGCCGCAGCCGGAUUUCCAAAUCGCGGGUUUGAUUUUCGCUGCGUCCUCUCCGCGACGCGCGCAGGGAGCGCGCCCGGCCACCUGCAGCCUCUGGCUGCGGCCAUCUUUCCGCCUGGGGCCACCUGGCCUGCGCCCUUUGUGCCCGGCCCGCUCCGUGACUGUUCUUCUUGCCGCUACUUACAGAACUCAGCCGCCUUAGCGUCUUAGAGAAGAGGACGGCAUGCAUGCGGACCCCGUCCACCACACCUGGAGAGCAGGGAGCCCUUAGUCCCUGGACACUUACCAGGGCCGCCACCCCUGGUCCACGCACGUGAUGACAUCUCACCAGGGGCAGCACACCGCCCGAGUCCGCGACACUGAUAACACCUCCUGCGGGCAGGAGGGCGCCACAGCCACCCCUGGUCCCCUAGAUUGUGUGAGGCUAGCAUUUCUGCCCGCCUCUUGGCGUGGACAGCACGCUGGACCGAGAUGGAACCACAGCUUUCUCUUCCCAAUCCCUGGCCUCACCGUUUUGUUUCAUACCUCACCGUUUGUUUCAAACCUCGUGGUGUUGAAAUGAUUAAAUGAGAUUAAGGGGUGUGUGGUAGUGUUGGGCAAACCACAAGAAAACGGUCUGGGUGGGGUCUGGCCCUAAAAUCUUCCUCCCCCACCUCCCAGGCUUCCUUGCCUUGCUGCUUCCUCUCAGCCUUUAAACAGGUUGGCCUCUCCAAGUCCUAAAAACAAAAUUAUCAAGCCAACCUCCUCCUGAAGUGCUCCCUCCAACUAGCUUCCAAGUGUUUCAUGCGGACCUCAAACAAUGGUCUUCCCUGGCUGCCUCUGCUUCCUCAUUUCUCAACACUUGGCAUUCUGGCUUCUCCUCCCCAACUCUAACCCUUCACCUUGCUCAGGCAAGAGCAACUCAUGACUUUCAUUUUGCCAAACCUUGCAGGCAUUCCUCAGGCCUUAUCUCUCUGGUUCUUUCUGCUACAUUUGACACCUUGGGAUGACUCUCACCUUCUGGAAUCUCUCUACUACCUUGGUUUCAGAAGAGUGAACCCUCUGGAUUAUCACAUGAAGCUACUUCCUGUGAGCAGCCCAGGGAUGGCCAGUCACUUGUGACCUACUUUCAGAGCUGGCAGUUCUGACUUCUAGAACAAACUCGGAACAAGCCCAUCUACAGCUGGUUGACUGAGUUUCCUUUGGGCUCCUGGCACCAGAAAGAAUUGCUCACUGGAAGGAUCAUAGGUGGCACUCAUGUCUCACUGCCCCACUCAGAGCAGAGAUGCCUCACUGUGAUAGGUAAAUUAAGGUGAUACUGAUUGCCAGCUCCAGUGUGGAAGUCCCGAGGUGAAGGAAUUUCUUUCAUAAACAUUUCAAAACUUGCCUGUGUGGACUCCUGCCUGCUCUCUGUGCCAGGAUCCCGUGACAUGAAACAGAAUAAGUGCUUCAUAAACGGGAGUGACACUAGGCGUGGUGGCAUGCAUCUGGAGUCCUAGCUACGCGGGAGGCUGAGGCAGGAGGAUUGCCUGAGCCUAGGAGUUGGAGGCUCUAAUGCACUUGGAUAGCACCUAUGAAUAGCCAGUGCCCUCCAACCUGGGCAACAUAGUGAGCUCUUGUCACCAAAAAAAAAAAAAAAAAAGCUAGAAGAGAAUAAUUUGAAUAUUUCUAGCACAAAGAAAAGACAAAUAUUUAAGAUAAUGGAUAGCCCAGUUACACAGAUUUGAUCUUUACAAAUUAUAUGAAUGUAUUAAAUUAUCAUGGCUGGGUGCAGUGGCUCACACUUGUAAUCCCAGCACUUUUGGAGGCUGAGGUGGGUGGAUCAUCUGCGGUCAGGAGUUCCAGACCAGCCUGGCAAACACGGCAAACAUGUACUAAAAAUACAAAAAAUUAGCCAAGUGUGGUGGCAGGCACCUGUAAUCCCAGCAACUCAGGAGGCCGAGGCGGGAGAAUUGCUUGAACCUGGGAGGCAGAGUGCUUGCAGUGAGCCGAGACCGCACCACUGCUUUGUAGCCUGGGCAACAGAGUGAGAUGCCAUUUCAAUAAUAAUAAUAAACUAUCACAUGUAACCCCCAAAUAUGUACAUCAUUGUGUAUCAAUAAAAAUAAAUAAAUGUGAAUAAAUGACUGAGAGUAUGAAUAAUGCCAUCCCUCCAGCGCCCUUGCACUGUGGUUCUCCAGCACCUGCUACUUAGGUUUCUUCAGAUACCAGCUGCUCUGGGAGCUAUACCUUGUUUCAGGAUCUCAGUCACUGCCUUCAGCAGCCCACUAUCUGAUCCAAGCAGCCAUGGAUUCUCUUUUGUAUCCAGUCACUCCUGUACCCUCUUCCCUUUUAGGUUUUGCUACUGUCUUCAAACUUGCUUUGAAGAUUUGAGCUCCUGUGUCACCAGGUCACCCUCAGAGGCAUCAGGACAUGCUCUUCAAGUAAAGUCCAAAUGAGGGAUUAGACACUCUGGGCUUCAUUUCUCAGUGUCCUCUCUCAAGAGCUAGACUAUUACUUGCAUUUCUCAUCUCCUUGAAUCAUCAGCGCCUGGUGCUAUCAUUUAAAAUAGGGAAAGUUAUGAACUGGGUUAAAUUUUUUUUUUUUUUUUGAGAUAGAAUGUCACUUUGUUGCCCAGGCUAAAGUACAGUGGUGCAAUCUUGGUUCACUGCAACCUCCACCUCCCGAGUUCAAGCAAUUCUCCUGCCUCAGCCUCCCAAGUAGCUGGGAUUACAGGUGUUCACCACCAUGCCUGGCUAGUUUUUGUGCUUUUAGUAGAGACAGGGUUUCACCAUGUUGGCCAGGCUGGUCUCGAACUUAUGACCUCAAGUGAUCUGCCCGCCUCAGCCUCCCAAAGUGCUGGGAUUACAGGCGUGAGCCACCACACCCGGCCUCAAAAAAUAUUUUUUUAGAAAGAAAAAAGAAAGAAACAAAAACAAAUAAAAUAGGGAAAGAUGAUUAGUAAGUCUCUUCCUUUCCAGGGCCUUAGUUUUCCUACCUGUAAAAUACAGAGCAUGGUAUUUUUGGAGUCCAUGAAUCCACCAAGCACAGUAUCAUCUUUGCAUGGUGCUUUAAAGUAUAUAAAACAUUUUAGACAAACAAGAUCUUAUUUAACAAAAAAAUGCCCAAUAAAUGUUUGCUAACAGAAAUGAUAAUGCUGAUUCUGUGUGAGCUGAAAGAAGCCUGUUGAAGGUGAAUGUGUCGUCUAUCAUUAAGUCUGAGGACCAAUUAAAGUUAAAACAAGUAUGAGUCACUAAAUGUUAGAAUUAAUUUUGAAUCCCUUAGUUUAAUUCCUACAUGUUGUCAAUGCCUGAGGGAAAUGGUCUAGCCACAGGUGCCAGCUCAUAAGAAACGGGAAGGCCAGGUACGGUGGCUCACACCUGCCAUCCCAUCAUUUUGGGAGGCUGAGGCCAGCAGAUCAUUUGAGGCCAGGAGUUUGAGACCAGCCUGUGCAAUGUAGGGAGAUCUCUACAAAAAAGUAAUUAGCCAGACAUGGUGGUAUGCACCUGCAGUCCCCGCUGUUUGAGAGGCUGAGGCAGGAGGAUCACAUGAGCCUAGAAGUUCGAGGCCGCAGUGAGCUAUGAAUGCACCAUUGCACUCCAGCCUGAGCAAUAGAGUGAGACCUUGCCUCAAAAAUUAAAAAAUAAAAUAAAUAUAAAAAUAAAACAAGAGAGAGAGGGCACCGUCUCUGUGGUACUAUUUGGCUGUGUUACAUAACUGGCAUUUUAUUUGGAAAAAAAAAAUGUCCUCCAAGGGGUUCAUUUCCUCAGAUCAAAUGUCAUUCCAGGUGUUGGUAUGCAUUCGACGCGUGCAUUCUUCAGCCCUGGUUAUUCUGUUUUAUUUUAUGUAAAACUCUAUUUCAAAAUACAG